CAGAGAGUGGUGAAUCUCUGGAAUCCUCUGCCACAGAAGGCUGUGGAGGCCAAGCCAAUAGAUAUUUU